rnacentral:rRNA from 1 species
UACGGAAGGGGCAAGCGUUGCUCGGAAUCAUUGGGCGUAAAGGGCGCGCAGGUGGCUCUGUAUGUCUGCCGUGAAAGCAUACAGCUCAACUGUAUUGUGUCGGUAGAAACUGCAGGACUUGAGGCUGGGAGGGGCUGGUGGAAUUCCCUGUGUAGCGGUGAAAUGCGUAGAGAUGGGGGAGAACACUCGUGGCGAAGGCGGCCAGCUAGACCAGUUCUGACACUGAGGCGCGACAGCGUGGGGAGCAAACAGG